GCAAUCCUGUCUAGUGGCACUCAGGUGUGGGUCUAUGUGUGUUUGAGAGUAUAUAGAACAUGUUCCGAUAAACUUUCAAUCUCAUCGAUUGAUCAAACACGAUUUUAGAUUCUCAAACGAGUCGACACGACCUACCCGCCCCAUGAGAAUGUACUGAGUGUAGGCCUACAACAAUACAGUAGAGAAAGAGAAGGCAAGAGAGAGAGAGAAAGGCUUGCAUCGAUUUUCAGUUACCAAGUCUAGACCUAACAUUUGAGAAAUAAUAUCUAUCAUAGUAUCAGUUGACCAAACCAAUUCAAUCUCUAAAAAGUGCUAGCUGUGCUUCUCUUUUACUCUCAGCAAU